GGAGCGGUGGCCGAGUGGUCGAAGGCGCACGCCUGGAAAGUGUGUAAAGGGUAACCCCCUUUCGUGGGUUCGAAUCCCACCCGCUCCGCCA
rnacentral:tRNA from 1 species